rnacentral:misc_RNA from 1 species
AUUGUACCUACGCACCAAAAUGGAACACCCUGCUUUUAGUCUUUCAGUGCCCGUAAAGGUUCCCUUCCUUCCCUAAUAGCUGGAGUCACUUUUUCG